GCCCGAAUGGUCCAGAGGUACGAUUCAUCCUUCGGGUGGAUGAGACCCGCGUUCGAGUCGCGGUUCGGGCC